GGAGAGAUCAUGGGAGCUUCAUGUACUUGCCCUGACACUUUGUUUUAUGACCCAGUCCUGUGUAUGCUUUGAAAAACUAAACUAGAAAUAGUGUUCCUCUAAUUUUUCUGAGCUGCUCUAGUGAGUUUGUGGAACAUGAAGAUGGGGUCAUGGGAACUUUUUGCGAAUUUGUCAGAAGCACAGGUCACAGACUGGAGGUCUGAGUGACAUCUGAUGUAGGGGACAGACUCCUGGGACUGACCUGAUAAACUAUGCCUGAGCAGUUAUGGUCACCAGGACAUGGAGAAGAUAAUGGUCAAUAUUUGAAGAAACCUGUGCAUCUGACAGAUGUCAUGCCAAAGAAGCUGGGAGAGAUCAUAAUAUAACAUCUUCCUAUGAUCUGGAAUAAGAAAAAGUUUUUUGUGUCUUCAUUGCGUUUUUAUUGCUUAUCAAGAAGAGGAGACAUAGAAGAAGGCAUUUCGGAAGAUGUGAUAAGAAAAGACAUUUUUGUUUUCUUUAACUAUGUUGAAUUUUGGAUAGAAAGCACAGCCCAUGUCUAAGUGGUCUCUGGAAGUUUCACAUUUUAUUACAAAUUAUCCUGAUCAGAUCUUGGUGCAAAAAGGGGC
rnacentral:lncRNA from 1 species